UGGGGAAUAUUGGACAAUGGGCGCAAGCCUGAUCCAGCAAUGCCGCGUGGGUGAAGAAGGUCUUCGGAUCGUAAAGCCCUUUCGACAGGGACGAUGAUGACGGUACCUGUAGAAGAAGCCCCGGCUAACUUCGUGCCAGCAGCCGCGGUAAUACGAAGGGGGCUAGCGUUGCUCGGAAUUACUGGGCGUAAAGGGCGCGUAGGCGGCUCGGUCAGUCAGGCGUGAAAUUCCUGGGCUUAACCUGGGGACUGCGCUUGAUACUGUCGGGCUUGAGGCCGAGAGAGGGUGGUGGAAUUCCCAGUGUAGAGGUGAAAUUCGUAGAUAUUGGGAAGAACACCGGUGGCGAAGGCGACCACCUGGCUCGGUACUGACGCUGAGGCGCGACAGCGUGGGGAGCAAACAGGAUUAGAUACCCCGGUAGUCCACGCCGUAAACGAUGUGUGCUGGAUGUUGGGGUCCCUAGGAUCUCAGUGUCGUAGCCAACGCGGUAAGCACACCGCCUGGGGAGUACGGCCGCAAGGUUG
rnacentral:rRNA from 1 species